AAGCUUGCCGCUGCUGCUACUAACUCAUAUGGUAUAGAUACAAAUUGGUAUAUUGAUACAGGUGCUACAGAUCAUAUUACCGGUGAGCUAGAGAAACUUACCACCAAGGAAAAGUACAACGGCGGCGAGCAGA
rnacentral:misc_RNA from 1 species